GGUGAUGUAGCUCAGUGGAAGAGCACUUGCCUAGGAUGCACAAGACCCUGGGUUCAAACCCCAGCACCACAA